GAGGGUAGAGCUCAGUGGUAGGGCAUGUGCUUAGCAUGCGUGAGAUCCCGGGUUCAAUCCCCAGUUCCUCUA
rnacentral:tRNA from 1 species